rnacentral:rRNA from 1 species
AUUGAACGCUGGCGGCAGGCCUAACACAUGCAAGUCGAGCGGAUGAAGGGAGCUUGCUCCUGGAUUCAGCGGCGGACGGGUGAGUAAUGCCUAGGAAUCUGCCUGGUAGUGGGGGAUAACGUCCGGAAACGGGCGCUAAUACCGCAUAGGUCCUGAGGGAGAAAGUGGGGGAUCUUCGGACCUCACGCUAUCAGAUGAGCCUAGGUCGGAUUAGCUAGUUGGUGGGGUAACGGCCUACCAAGGCGACGAUCCGUAACUGGUCUGAGAGGAUGAUCAGUCACACUGGAACUGAGACACGGUCCAGACUCCUACGGGAGGCAGCAGCGGGGAAUAUUGGACAAUGGGCGAAAGCCUGAUCCAGCCAUGCCGCGUGUGUGAAGAAGGUCUUCGGAUUGUAAAGCACUUUAAGUUGGGAGGAAGGGCAGUAAGUUAAUCCCUUGCUGUUUUGACGUUACCAACAGAAUAAGCACCGGCUAACUUCGUG